rnacentral:other from 1 species
UUAGCCCUGCGGUGUCCGCGAGGGGAUUAAUAAUCUUCUUGGGUCAAACCAACCUCCAGGGAUUCCCGAUACCGGAGAAAAGGCGCUGCUCGGCUGUGGUUCCGACGCAACGCCGAUCCUUCGGUGAGGAAACCCACUUGAACGAUUUUGAUGGUUCAAGAGGAUGCUUCUCCAGACGGCAUAGGCGGGGCUUUU